rnacentral:rRNA from 1 species
UACGAAGGGGGCUAGCGUUGCUCGGAAUCACUGGGCGUAAAGCGCACGUAGGCGGACUCUUAAGUCGGUGGUGAAAUCCUGGAGCUCAACUCCAGAACUGCCUUCGAUACUGAAAGUCUCGAGUCCGAGAGAGGUGAGUGGAACUGCGAGUGUAGAGGUGAAAUUCGUAGAUAUUCGCAAGAACACCAGUGGCGAAGGCGGCUCACUGGCUCGGUACUGACGCUGAGGUGCGAAAGCGUGGGGAGCAAACAGG